AAGCUGGAGAAGUUGCUGUGCUUGAACAGUGUUGGUAGUAGAUCGCAGGCAAACUCCGCCGGCUGCCACACCACGAACCCUGUUCCGUCGUCAUUCCAAGAAAUCACGUGGUCGGUGACCGGAUCUUCCACCAGCAUGUAGGUUUUGAGCAAGAAUGGUGGCGGAGUUGAUUUCCUUGCAUAUUCCAACAAACCUUUAUUGCUAUUAUUAUUGUUAUUACUAUCUAUAGCUGUAGACUCCAUAAGAAAUUAAACUUUGCAAGAAAAGAAAAGAAAAGAAAAAGAGAAGAGAAAGAGACUAAUUAAUGGGAGGAAGAGAAGAGAAUAAGAGCAGUUAAGAACUCCCAGCCCCAGCAGUAGAAACCCAACACGACUCCACAGUCCAUGAGAAAUGCAAGGGCUUUUCUUUGUCUCUCUUCUCUCUCAGACACAGAAGAAAGAAAUGGUGGAAACGUAUGUUCUAAGGCUCUCUCUUCAUAUACAAGUCCC
rnacentral:misc_RNA from 1 species